rnacentral:lncRNA from 1 species
CUGCAGGAGAACCUCAUGGACGCUGCUUAACUCAACAUGAAUGAAACUGAACCUGGGGUUUCUCUUUCGAUUGCUACAUGUGUGACUGCAGGAGAUCAACUUCCUUCUCAACCGAUGGGUAAGCCUCCUGGUCCACUCAAGUUCUGAACCAAAUAAGAAAAAUUAUCAAUCUUGUUCGCUGCAUAUGCAAUGAUGGUUGAUGAUUCAGUUUUUCACUUGUGUAAUCUUUGUUUACUCUGCUAAAGGGCUGCCCUAGUUAGUUUGUUUUGAUAGGGUCCUUACUGCAUAUGCUGCUGGAAUCUAAUUUGACCUGUUAAGAAUGAGUGUCAAUCAAUCAAACACAAGGAAAUUAAAUGCUCACUGUUUCUCAUAGUGAUUGUUGUGUCGUGUAUAGGUCAAACUAGUGCUGCCCUUGUCUACUUUUGAGGCAUCAACAUGUGUUGCCAUGGUUUUGGUUUUGGUUUCCGGUUGAUGCAUGGUUGGUGUGCUAGCUGUUCGUUAGUACCUGCUGGUUGUUACUAUUGCUCUUUUGAGUCAGUUUCCCUGCGUGAGACAGAUUUCUUUCUUGAUGUACCAAUCCUCAAUUAAUGCCUCAUGAAGCUCUUUUUGUAUGCAACCUUCUGUUCAAAUAUUUGUACUCCCUCCGAUCCAUAUUAAUUGACGCUAGUUUAGUAGAAAAGUUUAACUUUGUACUAAACCAACGUCAAUUAAUAUGGAUCAGAGGGAGUACAUGAUUUUGAUUUACGAAACUUACAAAUGAUUUGCAAGUUGGACUGGAUGUUUUUGAGAAGAUUUCUUGCUGUAGGACCUGGUGCAUGUCUUCUGAAAUCUGACUAGGAGACGUAUUCUUCACAUCUAAUCAAGAUUUGUUUGUUUGAGAGUUCUAAAGAAAGUAGGAAUGUUCCUGUGCUUUUCCGAAACAGAGUUAGAGUGCUCAAGCGUGCGCCAAGGUUCUAACAUUUUCUCGAACGCUUUGUGCUGGUAUGUAUGUCACAUCUUGCUUCCAUUGCAGUCUCAACACCCACUUUGCGUUUCUGCAAUCACUAAUUAUACUCCAGUUUGGUGGGUUCCAAAUGUUGUUGUUGCACAUGUAAAAGAAAGGGAUUCAGGCUACACAUCUACCUUCUGGAUGUAUCUAUCUCACUGCCUUUUGCUGUUCCACUCUGGUUUUGCUUACUUUCUAAAAUGUGUGUUUUAAUAAUAAUGUUUAUAAAGGCUGGAGAUGUACCAUUUCUCUCACCUCAGCUUCUUAUCAUUGCCGGACAUAUGCCCCCUUCUUUUGGGUGAUGGUGAUUUCAUAUUAAUCAUGGAAUAAAAUAACAUGCUACGGGAGCAGAAACUAUUCACUUAACUAUUUAAGGCCAAGAAGUAUAAAUCGAGGCACCUCCUCUCCUCUCCUCCCGUUGAUGCUUGAUUGUUACCUAGAAUAAAGAUUGUUUUCAGGAACAUGAAAGUAUUACCGUUUGUUAGGACAUGAUGACUGUUUGUUUACUGCUUUAUGAUUUUGUGUAGAGUUGCGUCCUCCUUGUCCCCUUUUACCCAAGGCCAUCUUGUUGUGUCAAUGGUUGUGUUGCCGUUUCAAGUUUUGUGUAUGUGCAUAUGUACAUAGCAGUAGACUAGACUGUUGUGAUCGUAUAUUACCACCGUCCCUUCUUAGAUUUAUCUAGAUACGGAUGUAUCUAACACUAAAACGUGUCUAUACAUCCGUAUCUAGACAAAUCUAAGACAAGAAUUUUGGGACGGAGGCAAGGUUUUCGUGUUGUCGAGUCGUUCUGGGGUAGCGACUCUUGACGAGUUGUGCCUGGCUGAUCGACUAGUCUCUACUAGUUGAGAGGUUGAGUCGACAUCUGGCAGUGCGGCUCGUCGACUAGUCGCGUGGAUGGAGUACUUGCUUUGCAGCCUGACAAGACAAUAUUGUGUUUGCUGGAAACUGAACUCUCUUCUAUGUUUGGUUGAUGCAGUUCCUUCCAUUAAUUUAUUUGUUUCUUCGAUUUGGAUGCAACAUGUUCCCUUCAUGAACGAGGACAUGGGCAUGUACCUCGACGGUGAGCUCAUCCAUCACUACCACCUCGACUCUGUGCGCAAGGUCAAUUCCUCUCUCUCGUCUAUGAGGUUUUUUUUUCAAGUUUUGUCUUCUCCAUUGUAGCCUGCUAGUUUCUGUUCUGGUCCUGAAACCAAACUAGGUAGGAUGGCCUUGUGACCUCCUGAAUGUCGAGGCUUUGGUUGUCAUAUCGUGUUUGGUUGAUCCUGUAUGAUGUGUACUCGCUUGAUGGACACCUAUUAGCUAAGGUUCUCAUAUCAUGUUUGGUGCUCAUAUGUGCUUGCUUAAUGGUUCUCAUAUCAUGUUUGGUGGAUCCUUUAUCAUGUUAGGUUCUCAUUAGCUAAGAUUGUUAUGUUUUGCUACUGAAUCGUAUUUCAUCAGUCUGCACGUGAUCAAGCUCACUCUUAUUAUUAAUUGCCAACAAUUGCUACUGGAUACACACAGUUUUUCCCAUGUUAUUAUCGAUGUUCUGCUCUAGGACGGUUUCUAGACACUCGCAUUGUGUGUGCUCCUCUUCACACUAGACUCUUUACUUUCUAUCUCAUGUUCAUAGCGUUCUAGUUUGUCGACGACAUAGUAUCCCCUGUGAUCUCUUAGUGAAAUGAGAGGUUUGAUUGAUGCUGUAUAGGAUUGGCUAGUUUUGCUUAAUGCCAUAUGUCUUGUGCAAUCAAAUUACAUUUCUGUUUGUUAUGGUAAUAUAAAAAAUAAUCAUGCUGUCAAAAUUUUCACAGUGCGUGCCUUUUAUUUCUUUAGUUUGACUGUUUCCCUUGUAUUCAAUAUGCUUCUAAUGCCUGAUCCUUUCAUUUUUGUUCUGGCAUCUUUAUUUUCACAGGUGUUGUGUGUCCUAGAAGAUGGAAGAGGAAGAAAACUUAUUUUUGUUGAACUAAAUUUUCUGUAUUCUGUUUUGUUGUACGUAUCAUUUGAUAGUUUUGUAUAGGAACAAGUGAUACUAUUUUAAAGGGCUUUAUGGCCUGUGAUGUAAACAUAUUUAGUGCUGAAAUAUGAAAUUAUUUGCAAAAUUUGUCGAAAAGGAGGAUCAUUUGUAUGAAUAUGUGAAUGGGCUGAAAAGAGUAUUGGACCAACUCCUGGAUUGAAUUAUUAUUUGAAUGUAUAAAAAGGCUGAAUGUAAACCAGAAAUGGGCUGCAAAAA